AUUGAACGCUGGCGGCAUGCCUUACACAUGCAAGUCGAACGGCAGCACGGACUUCGGUCUGGUGGCGAGUGGCGAACGGGUGAGUAAUGCAUCGGAACGUGCCAUUGAGUGGGGGAUAACGUAGCGAAAGUUGCGCUAAUACCGCAUAUUCUGUGAGCAGGAAAGCAGGGGACCGCAAGGCCUUGCGCUCUUUGAGCGGCCGAUGUCAGAUUAGCUAGUUGGUGAGGUAAAGGCUUACCAAGGCGACGAUCUGUAGCGGGUCUGAGAGGAUGAUCCGCCACACUGGAACUGGGACACGGUCCAGACUCCUACGGGAGGCAGCAGUGGGGAAUUUUGGACAAUGGGGGCAACCCUGAUCCAGCCAUGCCGCGUGAGUGAAGAAGGCC
rnacentral:rRNA from 1 species